ACUGGGCCUAAUACCCCAUAUGUAUCGAGGACGCAUGUCCUUGAUAUGAAAGAUCCGUCGGUCCGGGAUGGGCAUGCGGCGCAUUUAGCUGGUUGGCGGGGCAACGGCCCGACCAAGGCGACGAUGCGUAGGGUUCUGAGAGGAAGGUCCCCACACUCGGUACUGAGACACGGACCAGACUCCUACGGGAGGCAGGCAGUGAGGAAUAUUGGUCAAUGGACGGUAGGUCUGAACCAGCCAAGUCGCGUGCGGGACGAAGGCCCUCCGGGUCGUAAACCGCUUUAGCCGGGGUAGUAACGGUGCAGGACGUGUCCUGCAGUGAGAGUACCCGGAGAAUAAGCAUCGGCUAACUCCGUGCC
rnacentral:rRNA from 1 species